AAAAUAUUUUUUUUUUCAUCUUUCGUCAACAUUGAUUUCUCCUAAUGAACCUUGGUAGCAGUGCCGAGGUUUUU
rnacentral:ncRNA from 1 species